rnacentral:rRNA from 1 species
UGCCUAACACAUGCAAGUCGAACGGCAGCACAAAAGGGGUAACCCUUUGGGUGGCGAGUGGCGGACGGGUGCGUAACGCGUAGGAAUCUACCUUUUAGUGGGGGAUAACCCGAGGAAACUCGGGCUAAUACCGCAUAUUCUCUAAGGAGGAAAGCAGGGGACCUUUCGGGGCCUUGCGCUAAUAGAUGAGCCUGCGUCGGAUUAGCUAGUUGGUGAGGUAAUGGCUCACCAAGGCGAUGAUCCGUAGCUGGUUCGAGAGGACGACCAGCCACACUGGGACUGAGACACGGCCCAGACUCCUACGGGAGGCAGCAGUGGGGAAUAUUGGACAAUGGGGGAAACCCUGAUCCAGCAAUGCCGCGUGUGUGAAGAAGGCCUUCGGGUUGUAAAGCUC